rnacentral:misc_RNA from 1 species
GAUGAAGAACGCAGCGAAAUGCGAUAAGUAAUGUGAAUUGCAGAAUUCAGUGAAUCAUCGAAUCUUGAACGCAUCUUGCGCUCCUUGGUAUUCUGAGGAGCAUGCCUGUUUGAGUGUCAUUAAAUUCUCAACUACACUGACUUUGAAUUGGUGUGGCUUGGAUUUGGGGGGAAAAUUGUUGUGGGCUUUUUGUAUAGUCUGCUCCCCUGAAAUUGAUUAGCGGUACCUUUGUGGAACUGUCUACAGGUGUGAUAAUUAUCUACAUCUUAGACAUCUGCUGGAAUGCUGCUUUCUAAACCUUACUUGUAUUGACAAUCUUGACCUCAAAUCAGGUAGGACUACCCGCUGAACUUAAGCAUAUCAAUAAGCGGAGGA